rnacentral:misc_RNA from 1 species
GACCUGCCGGUCGAUGAGUGGGCCAAGGAAGAGGGCAUCGCCAACGAAGAGAUGCUGUCGCGCAUCGAGCAGCGCGUCGACGAACACAUGGCGGCAAAGUCGGCCCAGUUCGGUCCCGACGUCAUGCGCUAUGUCGAAAAGUCGAUCCUGCUUCAGACGCUGGAUCAUCUGUGGCGCGAGCAUCUGGUGAUGCUGGAUCACCUGCGCCAGGUGAUCGGGCUGCGCGGUUACGGCCAGCGCGAUCCAUUGCAGGAAUACAAAUCCGAGGCGUUCAACCUGUUCGAGGGCCUGA